UUUUUUCCUUUAAGGAAACACCCGCAUAAGGGAAACCAGAGACUCCAACCGUUUCUUUCAGCAGAUCCUCAUGCAGACAAUGAAGAAAAGUUUUCAGGAAUGAUCUUGGUUUUAUAGGUACUUACUGCCUUGAAAGGUCCGUGAUUUACCAAGUACAAGCAUCCUUCUCUAGUUCCAGAACAAACCAGGGAAGAUUACAGUGCUGAAAGCAACUGAAGGGCUGGUGGGGGAAGGGAGUGCAUGGGCUCCUCCUUAAAUGGUGGCUGUAUUCCAGUUAGUAUGAAUCCCACAGGAGGCCGUCAGUAGACGGACGGUGCUACUGCUAUAUCAGUAUCCGAACCCCUCCGAAUUUUGUCCGUUUUGGUGCCAUACCAGGGGUGUGUGACUUCGCACAGAGCUGCGGUUUGUGGCAUUCACAGCAUUCCUGAAGCGUGGGGAGCUGUGUGCCGCUUGUGUGCCGGGGGAUCCCUGGCUCUGCUGGAACCCAGCAGUGCUCCGAGGGAGCGGCUUCCUGGCCAUCUGAAUCUAUGCAGUGUCACAGUGAUGACAUGGUGGAGAAAGAUCUCUCCCUGUGGCCACCUGGCAAAGGUAAAGGUGGUAGGAACUCUUGACCUGGAUGACAGAAAGCAUGAAUAUCAGCCAGAGUUGUAAAGCUUGUAAAUAAACCCCAAAGACCUGCCAUGCAUGUAUAUGCAGGAUUGAAGGCCAAGAUGUGUCAUGGAUAAAAGCACAUGGGAGCACCAGAGUUACCACAAGCCAUUUGCCACCAAGAGCAGAGAUGAGGAUCUGUUGUCUAGGGGGAAAGCUCACAUUGGCUGAGAGCACACCUGCUGCUCUUUGUUACCGCAUUUGACAAAAUAAACAAGGAGUUUAAAAAAUA